rnacentral:rRNA from 1 species
AGUGAACGCUGGCGGUAGGCCUAACACAUGCAAGUCGAACGGCAGCACAGUAAGAGCUUGCUCUUACGGGUGGCGAGUGGCGGACGGGUGAGGAAUACAUCGGAAUCUACUUUUUCGUGGGGGAUAACGUAGGGAAACUUACGCUAAUACCGCAUACGACCUACGGGUGAAAGCAGGGGAUCUUCGGACCUUGCGCGAUUGAAUGAGCCGAUGUCGGAUUAGCUAGUUGGCGGGGUAAAGGCCCACCAAGGCGACGAUCCGUAGCUGGUCUGAGAGGAUGAUCGGCCACACUGGAGCUGGAACACGGUCAAGAGUCCUACGGGAGGCAGCAGUGGGGAAUAUUGGACAAUGGGCGCAAGCCUGAUCCAGCCAUACCGCGUGGGUGAAGAAGGCCUUCGGGUUGUAAAGCCCUUUUGUUGGGAAAGAAAAGCAGCAGGUUAAUACCCCGCUGUUCUGACGGUACCCAAAGAAUAAGCACCGGCUAACUUCGUG